rnacentral:snRNA from 1 species
GUGCUCACUUCAGCAGCACAUAUACUAAAAUUGGAAUGAUACAGAGCAGAUUAGCAUGGCCCCUGUGCAACGAUGAUACACAAAUUCUUGAAGCAUUCCUUUUUUUU